AUUGAACGCUGGCGGUAUGCUUAACACAUGCAAGUCGAACGGUAGCAGGCCUUCGGGCGCUGACGAGUGGCGGACGGGUGAGUAACGCGUAGGAAUCUGCCUCAUAGUGGGGGACAACGUGUGGAAACGCACGCUAAUACCGCAUACGCCCUACGGGGGAAAGCGGGGGACCUUUGGGCCUCGCGCUAUGAGAUGAGCCUGCGUUAGAUUAGCUAGUUGGUAGGGUAAAGGCCUACCAAGGCGACGAUCUAUAGCUGGUCUGAGAGGACGAUCAGCCACACUGGGACUGAGACACGGCCCAGACUCCGACGGGAGGCAGCAGUGGGGAAUAUUGGACAAUGGGCGCAAGCCUGAUCCAGCAAUACCGCGUGUGUGAAGAAGGCCCUAGGGUUGUAAAGCACUUUCAAUAGGGAGGAAAACCUGCCGGUCAAUACCCGGUAGCUUGACAUUACCUAUAGAAGAAGCACCGGCUAACUCCGUGCCGGCAGCCGCCGUAAAAC
rnacentral:rRNA from 1 species